GACGAACGCUGGCGGCGUGCCUAAUACAUGCAAGUAGAACGCUGAAGGAGGAGCUUGCUUCUCCGGAUGAGUUGCGAACGGGUGAGUAACGCGUAGGUAACCUGCCUGGUAGCGGGGGAUAACUAUUGGAAACGAUAGCUAAUACCGCAUAACAGUAGAUAUCGCAUGAUAUCUGCUUGAAAGGUGCACUUGCAUCACUACCAGAUGGACCUGCGUUGUAUUAGCUAGUUGGUGAGGUAACGGCUCACCAAGGCGACGAUACAUAGCCGACCUGAGAGGGUGAUCGGCCACACUGGGACGGAGACAAGGCCCAGAAUCCUACGGGAGGCAGCAGUAGGGAAUCUUCGGCAAUGGACGGAAGUCUGACCGAGCAACGCCGCGUGAGUGAAGAAGGUUUUCGGAUCGUAAAGCUCUGUUGUAAGAGAAGAACGAGUGUGAGAGUGGAAAGGUCACACUGUGACGGUAUCUUACCAGAAAGGGACGGCUAACUACGUG
rnacentral:rRNA from 1 species